UACGAAGGGGGCUAGCGUUGUUCGGAAUUACUGGGCGUAAAGCGCACGUAGGCGGAUAUUUAAGUCAGGGGUGAAAUCCCGGGGCUCAACCCCGGAACUGCCUUUGAUACUGGGUAUCUGGAGUAUGGAAGAGGUGAGUGGAAUUCCGAGUGUAGAGGUGAAAUUCGUAGAUAUUCGGAAGAACACCAGUGGCGAAGGCGGCUCACUGGCCCGGUACUGACGCUGAGGUGCGAAAGCGCGGGGAGCAAACAGG
rnacentral:rRNA from 1 species